rnacentral:rRNA from 1 species
UACGUAGGGUGCAAGCGUUAAUCGGAAUUACUGGGCGUAAAGCGUGCGCAGGCGGUUUUGUAAGUCUGUCGUGAAAUCCCCCGGGCUCAACCUGGGAAUUGCGAUGGAGACUGCAAGGCUAGAAUCUGGCAGAGGGGGUAGAAUUCCACGUGUAGCAGUGAAAUGCGUAGAGAUGUGGAGGAACACCGAUGGCGAAGGCAGCCCCCCUGGGUCAAGAUUGACGCUCAUGCACGAAAGCGUGGGGAGCAAACAGG